ACGGAAAGCUGAAGUUCACAGAAAAUCUUCUAGAAAUCGAAGUAUUUCUUGGAGGCUCUAUCAACCUUAGGGAUGAGUAUUUUUUUUCUCUUUAAUGUUGUGAUGCGUUUACUUAACCGAGUAUUUCUCACCGAAUCUUGAAAUAAAGAAAAUCAAUGAUGAAAAGAAAGUGUUGAUGGCAGCUCAAUUUGCAGCUGAAGCUACUCUUCGAAGGGUCCAUGCUGCUCAAAAGGAUGAUGACAUGCCUCCUAUAGAGGCCAUUCUAGCUCCUUGCUCUGCAAGAGGCAUGUAUUGCCUUGUUUUUUUUACUUUGAAUGGUAGUUCCUGUGUUAAAAUACCGGAUAAAUGAAGGGGAUGAAGAGAAAUUCAGAGAAAUGGAAUAUGGUGGAGUGAGGAAAAAGAAAAGAUCAAUUAGGAGAAUAUCACAAUCAAGAAGAAGAAGAAAGUAAAUUUCAAAUAUGUUACUGCUUUUUGAUUAUUUUCUCUAACUUUUCACGUUUCCGCUUUUCCAACAACUCGACUGAUGGGGAAUCUUACAUUUUCUCAGAAAUAUGUCAAGGGGAGGAUUAACACGCAGCACCCAGUGAUAAUAAGUCUAUUGCAGAGGCAUAAGGAGUGAACUUUCAUAUUGAUUACAAGAUUACCAAUGUCGUUUUUUCUCCAAUUGAUUACAAGAUUGUAACCGAGGUUCUGGCAACAAUGGUUAUUGAUAUUGGUCAUGGAUUGAGGGCGAGAAAAGAAUUCAAGUAAUUGGUAUGCAUCUAACCUAGACAUCUGUGUUCUCUGCUUAGAGAGAUUGGCCAAGAAGCAAUGCAAAGGAAGAUGGUUAACAUGGUGCUAACUUUCAGCUUUCCAUUGAAUGUCUGUGGUUGCAUAGGUAGCUUUAUGUCUUAUUUUAUCCAUCUGGCCGUUGAUAUUUGUAAUACGCAGAUAAUGUGAUUGUGUUGGUUCAGGUUUGUUAAUAUUUUUGUAAUCAAAUCGAGAACUAAACUUAUUUGGUUGUGCAAUACAUUCAUAGUAUCAAGUAGAUAAGUUUAUGUUUGAGUGAAGCACCACAUGCUGCCUUUUCAUUUAUUUCCCCGUUGUUAAACUUAUAACUUAAGGGUGUCAGAUGAAGCACCGUGUUCUUCUGAUGAGUUUUUUGACUUAUAUUUUGUUAGAGUAUUACUUUUCCCGUCUUAAUAUUAAAGGGGAUUUCCCGUCUUAUCUCGAAAGAUAACCCCUCUUUUAAAUCUCCUUUAUUUUGGCUUAUUCUUAGGCAUGUUGCUUCACACGCAAUGUACUAUUUUAUUAGUACUAUGGACAAAAUAAAUAAACGAUACAUUAUCUUGACAGUACCCUGCCAUGAACUUCAUAUUUGAUAGUUCUGCAGUUGAAUAGAAAAUGAGAAUUAAAGAGCAAGUUUUUAUAUUGGCAUCAAUUCUCAUCAGCCUGUCAAGCAAACUAACCAUAUACCAAAGAAUUCUAAAAGCAUAGGCUUAUGCAAUUCACAAUUUUUAAAUGAGAAAUCAAAACUUUCGCAUAAUUAAUCUCAAUCGCUAAAUAUUAAGAAUUUCAGUAACAAGAAUUUCAAAAUGCAACAGCAAGACAAGAGAUAACAACACUACACAGCAACAUUAAGCAGACUAAAGGUACAUAUAAUUAUCUCAAGGGGAGACCAGAUACAUGAACAAUUAUCGGGAGUAAGCCAAUAAUUUAUUAAAAUAUAAUCUCAAUUAAAUUCAUAUAUCACAUUUAUCAUUUUAAAGACAAAAAAAUACUUUUAAAUAAAUUAAAAUUGUUAUAAUAAAUAUAUUGAGUAAAUAGGCAAAUAUCCCUGAAAUUGUAAGUUUCGUCAAUUACCCCCCUGACAUUAACAAAACUUCAAUUACCCCUGAAAUUGCACAACGUUAAUCAAUUUAACUCAUCCGUCAAAUUUUUUCUGUUAGUCACGUUUUGCAAAUACCCCUUAAAGUUUUGCAAUUAUAUGAAAAAUUCCCUCAAACUUAAAAAUUUAUAUAUAUAUUUUUUAUUUAAAAAAUAAAAAAUAAAAAAACCAAUCAAAUCCACCUACUAGAGAUUUAGUUGGAUUUUACACGUGACUCAAACAUCCCCAGCGAACUGAUCAAGUACUACUAAAGUGGUGAUAGUGUAACUGUGAAUGUGAAAGCCAAACAUCAAACAAAAACAAAACCUAGCCGCUUGUCCCCAUUCGAUUCUCUCUCACUCACCACUUUAUGAUGGCGUUUGCAAGACAUGGCAGGAAUUGCAUGAUUAGAUCUUCUUCUUCUUCCUCAGGAAUAAAGGUUUUUUUCUCUAACUUAUCUAACUUGCGAAUAGGUCAAUUAUCUUCAUCCACUUAUUGUAAUUCGAAUUCCGAAGAUGAUUUCCAGAAAGUGAUGAGUCUUCUUAGUAACGCUGCUCCUAACGAGCGUGGCCACCAAAUUUAUUCAGAUCUUAAUUCAAUUCAAUUCACUACUCUACAACAUCAACAACAACACUUUGCACUUAAAGUUAUUGAAACCUCUUGUCAAACUAAAUUUGUUGAAGCCCCAAAGGUUCAACCUCAUAAUCUUAUCAACUUUAUAAAGUUGGUUUGGAAGAAUAACAAGGACCUCAUCACUACCCCUGUUCUGGAAUCCCUUGUUUCAUCAAUAUGCUCUACUGUUCCUACACCACCUAGAAAGAACGACAUACUUUUUCUGUGGGACUUGCUUAAGCGUAUUGGCCGCCAUCAUCACCAUACCGGCGGCGUUCUUAAUGCCCGUAUUCUCAAUUCACUCAUACAAUCCUUCUCAAUUAUGGGGCGAGAAGGUAAAUCUGCACUUGAAGUUUUUCAUAUGUUUGAGGCCUUUCAGUGUGUGCCAAAUCACGAUACAUAUUACUUUACUCUGCAAGCUCUUUUGACCACGACCUGUAGUACUCAUAUGAUCCAUCAAGCAGCUUCUAUCUGUCAGAAGAUGCUUCUGUUCCUCCCUCAUCAUCACGAUGAAGCAGCUUCUAUCUGUCAGAACUACACCCACCUUCUUACUCCUAGUCCUGAUGAAGACAUAGACGACGAUUUCACCUCACCCAAAGAUUUCCAGACUCAGCUUACAUUUCUUGGUGGUAUUCCUCGUCCGCAUUACUAUGGUUGUGUGUGCGCAAAUGUUAAUUUGACGGACUUUAACACUAUGCGUCAGCAACUGCACCAUUUUGUACUCAAAGUUAUUGAAACCUCCUCACAAACUAAAUUAAUUGAAACCCCAAAGGUUUCGCCUCAUAAUCUUAUCCACUUUAUAAAGUGGGCUUGGAUGAGGAGGAACACUUAUCAAGAUCUCAUCACUACCCCUGUUCUGGAAUCCCUUGUUUCAGAAAUAUGUCGUGGUUCCACCGAUGAUAAUAUUCAUCUAAGGAAGAACGACAUAUUUUUUCUGUGGGAAUUGCUUAAGCAUAUUGGCCACUAUCAGACUGACCUUCUUAGCACCAGGAUUCUCAAUCAACUCCUACACUCCUUUGGAUUGAUGUUGUGCCAAGGAAAGACCGGACUCGAAGUUUUUCAUAAAUUUGAGGCAUUUCAAUGCGUGCCGAAUCAAGAUACAUAUAUCCAUACGCUGCAAGCUUUUUUGACCACAAAGUGUACCACUGAUAUGAUCCACCAAGCCGCUUCUAUGUGUCAAAAGAUGCUGCUUCAUCCAGAAACCAUCCUUCCUGAUGACGGCGAGAUACUUGGGGACGUGUUGUAUUGCUUUUUUAAAAGAAAUAUGAUUAAAGAAGCCUAUGCUCUCUUUCUGGCUGCAAAUGAGAGACGCAAAACAAACCCAAACUGGCCGCUGAAGUUAAGAAUGUUGUUACCACUUAAUAUGAUCCAAAUGCUAUGUUUAAAAAAAGAAACUGUACAUUUGGCUUUCAAGAUGUUGAAUGAUAUCCCCGAGGAGGUGGACGACCGGGAAAAAUUGUUUAAACUCAUGCUCUUUACACAUGUUUUCGGAGCCUUGUGUGGGUUUAAAGAUUUCGAAACAGCCAAGCAGUUGAUCCUUAAAAUGAUUGCAGACAGUCUACAUCCUUCAAUAUAUGAUAUCAGUAUAAUUAUUACUGCCUAUGUUAAAGCUGGGGAAAUCGGACAGGUUUUGGAGAUGGUGAUGCUAUUGGAAAGUAUGGGUUUUUACAUUUGUAAUCCUCUUAUGUUUGGUUUCCCACGUUCAAAAGGUAUGCUACAUAUCAAGAAGAUCUUGGAAAAAGCCAAAAAGCAGGAUUGUAAGUUAAUCAUUACUUUGCUGUACCAUACACUCAUUGUUGGAUAUUGCAAGCUAGAGAAAUUUGAUGGUGCUCUCGAGUUAUUGACUCAGAUGAAGGAUUUUGGUGUCUCCCACACCAAUCUUGAUGAAUAUCACAAGUUGAUCCACUAUCUUCGCUUGAUGGAUAUGGAUUGCAAAAUGGCAAGGGAGCAGCUAGAGGAAAUGGAGCCCAUGGAUAGGGAAGUGGCAAUAACGCAGAUAAACGAAAUGGACAGUAUAGCUUCCAAUGUGGCAUACCAGCAGCUAGGUGAAAUGUAUCUUAAUAUUAGGGCAUUAUUUUGAUAGGAAGUUAGAAUCUUGAUGCAAAAUUAAUUGAGUUGAGAAGAUAUUAAGAAAAAAUGAUUAGGAGUCGGAUGAAUUUUUUAUGUUUUUCCUUCUAAUAGAUUGUUAUGUUGAACCCAGUCUAUGUUGGCUAUGUAUAUAACUACUUUCCUUUUUGAUAAUGAUGUGUCAAUCAAUUUUAUGCAUGUGGAAUCACUUUCUUCUAGGCUGCUUUUGGUGUUUGGACAAAACAUUCUAGACAGAGAAUGCUGUUUACAUGAAUGCAAUAUAAUUCAUCGCCGAAUUGCUCAUCACACACUCAUAAACAACAUUGCAUGGAGUGAGCAUUACACUACCAAGUUUAAAUCAUAAAAACCCUAUGUUAUCAAACUCAUUAUGAACUUGAUCGUUCGUUCAACAAUACUUUACCCUGUCUUUCUCUGUCAUACAAUUUUGGUCUGAUUAACGACUAACUAUCCAUUCAUACACGUAGUCAUUAAUUAAUUAUUAAUAAUAAUCACCUUUCUUUAAUUAAUUAUAAUAAUCACUCACUCUCCAAAAACAAAUGAAAACAAAACUGGGUUUAAAUUCAGAAUCUAGAGAGAGAAUUAAGCAUAAACUAGUAUGAAACAACCUUUCUCUCACUUUCUCUCUCUAAAACCACCGUCUCGUUCAUUCUCACAACUGCAUUCUCUUUAUCUCUCUAAAACCACCGUCUCCUUCGUUCUAGGAGGUAAGAGCAAACGCGCCUGAGUGGUUUCGUUUUAAUCUUUUCUACAAAGCAUUUCUAUAAAUGUCUGUGUUUAUGCGUGUUCCGGUAGGAGCAUUCUCUUUAUCUGUCUAAAACCGCAUCUCCUCGGAUUAGACGUGUCCCGGUGUCGGACAUGUAUCGUGUCUGACACCGACACAUAUGAUUAAAUUGAAUUGUGUCUUUUUUUUUUUUUUAAAUUAUUAUUGGUGUCGAUGUAUCCGUGUCUACGACAUAUCUGGUGUUUGUGUUUGAGUCUGUGCUUCAUAGUGUCUUGAUGAUAUUGGUUUCAAUUUUCUUCUAAUGCUUUUGGUGUUUAUAUGUGUUUCUUAUUCUAGAGUUGUUAUUAUACCAUUUGAUUUGUUUUCAUAUCAUAUAUGUGCGCAGUAAUUAUGUUUUGUUUGAAUCAGGUGGUAAGAGCGGAUUUAUUUGUCAUUGGUUUUGUAUUUUUAACCUUAAUUGUAGUAAUGAUUUGUUUCCCAGUAAUUAUUGGCGCUUAAUCAUUCUUUGCAUUGUUUAUACUUUAUCCUUUGUACUAAUUUCUUCUAUUAAUGUGACUGCAUCUAGUUCAUGCAUCCUUUAAUACUAAUUGUUAGCUUGAAAAUGAAUUUUUUUCUGUUUUUUGCCUACGCUGUAGCUUACUGAAGAAUUGUCAAAGGGUUGACCACUACAAGAAUAAUGCCCAUUUGCCAGGGAUUUUGACAAGGACAUGAAACCCCUGGGAAAUUUUCCAGGAAAUUGCCAAGGAAAACCCUCACAAAUGGACAUAAAGAAACAUGGGGACCACUUACCAUAAGACAGGGGUUUGCCCCUCACAAAUGGACACAACCCCUGAGUUUAAUUUGAGCGCCAAAAAUGAAAUUCAAAGAAGCUGACUAGUGCAGGCUUUUGCAGCAAAAAACGUGGAAUCUCUGCCCCACUGACCGAUUGACUUGACAAGAAGCUGCCAAAAGCUGGUCAAAUUCUAUGCCAAGGGUUUUACCCCUGUGAAAUGGCCAUAAAGCCGUGGCAUUUUCGUGCAAAUACUGCCGUUCUACACAUAUAGCUGGAACCUAGCUAGUCCUAGGAUGUUGACAAACUUUGUGUGGGGCAAUCCGUGAGUUUACCCCUAGCAAAUGUUUUUCCUAUAUAUUGCAAUUCCAAUGCCAAAUUGUGUCACUCGACAUUGUUUGAGACUUACAAAAAAAAUUACUACUCAAUUUUUUUCAUACACUCUACUUAUUUCAACAUCAAUAAAUUUAUCUACUUUGGUAAAACUCUCAUCAGUUCUUAUAUUUUUUUGUUUUUAUUUUUCACUACUUAUUAAGCUUGGUUCGUUGCUAAGCUUGGUUUUUGGAUUUGUUCUCUUAUCAAGCUUCAACAAGUUAGUGAUUUUUCUACUUCUAAAUACUAUUGAUAUAUAUGAUAUUUUCAAAUUUUUUAGUAGUUUAAAGUGUAUGAUGUUUGUUCUUUUUGAUAUAUAUAUAUAUAUAUAUGAUGUUAUAAUUUUUCAUGGUAUGUUUUUAUUGUGGAGAUAUAAUUCCAUUUUUUUAUAAUAAAAUUGUUAAAGAAAAUAAGAUUAGAAAAAAAUGUUAAAAACCAGAGAAAAAUUGUAUAAUAACACUGUUAUUUUUUUUCGAAAUUUAAAUAAAUAAAUGUUAUUUAGGUAGAAAACAGUUUAUUUACUAAUUAAAACAGUAUUUUUAGGUAGAAAACUGUUUAUUUACUAAUUAAAAUUGUUUUUGUUAAUUAAUUCAGGGAAAUUCGUUUUUUAAACUUAUAUAGUAAAAAAUCUGAUAUUUUGACUAAUUGUUAAAUAUUUUUUUAAAUUAGGGAAAAUUGGUUUUUAAAUUUGUGUAUUAAAAAAUCUGAAAUUUUGUAAAAUAAAAUCUGUUAUUUAAAAUUUUAAAAUUUGUAUAAUAAAACUGUUUUUAAAAUCUGUUUAAAUUUGUGUAAUAAAACUGUUUUUUAAAAUCUGUUUCAAAAACAACUUUAAAAAAAAUCAAUUUUUUAAUUAAUUUAAAUACAUUUUAUUGAUUAAAAUUAUUUUUAAAAUAUUUAAUUAUUUAAUAAAAAAUUCGAUUUUAUAAAUAAAACAUUUUUUAUAAAUAUUUAAUUAUUUAAAUUCGGUUGAGCCCCUCGUUUUUUUCUCAGGGGUACACCCCUGGCAAAAUGUUUGCGUACUUCCGCCCCUGGCAAAUUCCCUCACAAAUGUCCCUUUUCCCAGGGAUUCUGUCCUUUUCCCAGGGAUUUUGCCCCUGGCAAAAGGCAAUGUUUUUUGUAGUGGACGGAAAGCUGAAGUUCACAGAAAAUCUUCUAGAAAUCGAAGUAUUUCUUGGAGCCUCUAUCAACCUUAGGGAUGAGUAUUUUUUUUCUCUUUAAUGUUGUGAUGCGUUUACUUAACCGAGUAUUUCUCACCGAAUCUUGAAAUAAAGAAAAUCAAUGAUGAAAAGAAAGUGUUGAUGGCAGCUCAAUUUGCAGCUGAAGCUACUCUUCGAAGGGUCCAUGCUGCUCAAAAGGAUGAUGACAUGCCUCCUAUAGAG
rnacentral:lncRNA from 1 species